rnacentral:rRNA from 1 species
CCUACGGGAGGCAGCAGUGGGGAAUAUUGCGCAAUGGGCGAAAGCCUGCCGCAGCGACGCCGCGUGAGGGAUGAAGGUCUUCGGAUCGUAAAACUCUGUCAGCAGGGAAGAACGGUCACUGUGCUAAUCAGUAGGGAAUUGACGGUAACUGCAAAGGAAGCACCGGCUAACGCCGUGACAGCAGCCGCGGUAAUACGGAGGGUGUGAGGGUUAAUCGGAAUUAUUGGGCGUAAAGCGCUCGUAGGCGGUAUGUCAAGUCAAGGGUGAAAUCCCCGCGCUCAACGUGGGAACUGCCUUGGAAACUGGCAAACUGGAGUGUGUGAGAGGUUAGUGGAAUUCCAGGUGUAGGAGUGAAAUCCGUAGAUAUCUGGAGGAACAUCAGUGGCGAAGGCGACUAUCUGGCACAUAACUGACGCUGAGGAGCGAAAGCGUGGGUAGCAAACAGGAUUAGAUACCCGGGUAGUC